UACGAAGGGGGCUAGCGUUGCUCGGAAUCACUGGGCGUAAAGCGCGCGUAGGCGGAUUGCUAAGUCAGGGGUGAAAUCCUGGAGCUCAACUCCAGAACUGCCUUUGAUACUGGCGAUCUUGAGUCCGGGAGAGGUGAGUGGAACUCCGAGUGUAGAGGUGAAAUUCGUAGAUAUUCGGAAGAACACCAGUGGCGAAGGCGGCUCACUGGCCCGGUACUGACGCUGAUGUGCGAAAGCGUGGGGAGCAAACAGG
rnacentral:rRNA from 1 species